UCCGGUUGAUCCUGCCGGACCUGACUGCUAUCGGAUUGAUACUAAGCCAUGCGAGUCUUUGUAGUAAUACAAGGCAGACGGCUCAGUAACGCGUAGUCAACCUACCCUAUGGACGGGAAUAAUCUCGGGAAACUGAGGAUAAUACCCGGCGUACCAUCAUUCCUGGAAUGGUUGGUGGUUAAAAUGAUUCGUCGCCGUAGGAUGGGACUGCGACCUAUCAGCUUGUUGGUGAGGUAAAGGCCCACCAAGGCGAUUACAGGUACGGGCUCUGAGAGGAGAAGCCCGGAGAUGGGUACUGAGACACGGACCCAGGCCCUAUGGGGCGCAGCAGGCGAGAAAACUUUGCAAUGUGCGAAAGCACGACAAGGUUAAUCCGAGUGAUUUCUGCUAAAGGAAUCUUUUGCCAGUUCUAAAAAUACUAGUGAAUAAGGGGUGGGCAAGUUCUGGUGUCAGCCGCCGCGGUAAAACCAGCACCUCAAGUGGUCAGGAGGAUUAUUGGGCCUAAAGCAUCCGUAGCCUGCUCUGUAAGUUUUCGGUUAAAUCUAUAUGCUCAACGUAUAGGCUGCCGAAAAUACUGCAGUGCUAGGAAGUGGGAGAGGUAGACGGUACUUGAUAGGAAGGGGUAAAAUCCUUUGAUCUAUCGAUGACCACCUGUGGCGAAGGCGGUCUACCAGAACACGUUCGACGGUGAGGGAUGAAAGCUGGGGGAGCAAACCGGAUUAGAUACCCGGGUAGUCCCAGCUGUAAACGAUGCAGACUCGAUGAUGCAUUGGCAUAUAGCCAGUGCAGUGUCGCAGGGAAGCCGUUAAGUCUGCCGCCUGGGAAGUACGUACGCAAGUAUGAAACUUAAAGGAAUUGGCGGGGGAGCACCACAAGGGGUGAAGCCUGCGGUUCAAUUGGAUUCAACGCCGGA
rnacentral:rRNA from 1 species